rnacentral:rRNA from 1 species
AGUAGUCAUACGCUCGUCUCAAAGAUUAAGCCAUGCAUGUGUAAGUGUAAAUAUAGUAGUUUGGAACUGCGAAUGGCUCAUUAUAUCAGUUAUAGUUUAUUUGGUGAAGUGUACUACUUGGAUAACCGUAGUAAUUCUAGGGCUAAUACAUGAGAAAGUCCUCUGGUGAGGUGUGUUUAUUAGAAUGAAAACCAUAUGCUUCGGCAUGAUAGUGAGUAAUAGUAACCUAUCGUAUCGCAUGCUUAAUGUAGCGAUGAGUCUUUCAAGUUUCUGCCCUAUCAGCUUUCGAUGGUAGUAUAUGGGCCUACCAUGGCAGUAACGGGUAACGAAGAA